CCUACGGGUGGCACCAGUGGGGAAUAUUGCACAAUGGGCGCAAGCCUGAUGCAGCCAUGCCGCGUGUAUGAAGAAGGCCCCAGGGUUGUAAAGUACUUUCAGUCGGGAGGAAGGCGUUGAUGCUAAUAUCAUCAACGAUUGACGUUACCGACGGAAGAAGCACCGGCUAACUCCGUGCCAGCAGCCGCGGUAAUACGGAGGGUGCAAGCGUUAAUCGGAAUUACUGGGCGUAAAGCGCACGCAGGCGGUUGAUUAAGUUAGAUGUGAAAUCCCCGGGCUUAACCUGGGAAUGGCUUCUAAGACUGGUCAGCUAGAGUCUUGUAGAGGGGGGUAGAAUUCCAUGUGUAGCGGUGAAAUGCGUAGAGAUGUGGAGGAAUACCGGUGGCGAAGGCGGCCCCCUGGACAAAGACUGACGCUCAGGUGCGAAAGCGUGGGGAGCCAACAGGAUUAGAUACCCGUGUAGUC
rnacentral:rRNA from 1 species